rnacentral:lncRNA from 1 species
GCCGCGAACAACAUCAUGACCACGUCCCACCUGAGACCACACAGAAGAUGCGAUCUCGGAAAUGGGGCCGCAGGGCCGGCAUUCAGGUGAGAGCGAAACACCGCGGGCUACAAACUCCGAUGCCCAGCAUUUUCCUGUCCAACGUUCAGUCUCUGGACAACAAACUGGACGAUCUCAGAGGGCGACUUAAAUUCCAAAGAGAUUUACGGAACUGCUGUGUUUCCUGCUUUACGGCGACGUGUUUCACCGCCAGCACACCAGACCACGCGGUUCAGCCCAAGGGCUUCUCAAUCUACCAUGCAGAUCGGACUGAUUCAUCAGGGAAAAAGAGAGAAGGGGGCGUAUGCUUUCUAAUUAACAACGCAUGGUGCACGAAUGUGGAAGUGAUUGCACAGAACUGCACUCCGGACCUUGAAUACCUACUGAUCAAAUGCCAACCGUUCUACCUACCUAGGGAGUUCUCGGCUGUGCUCAUGGCCGCAAUUUACAUCCCAUUCCAAGGGAACACACACAGCACGUUGAACAAACUGUACCACGUCGUCACUAAGUACGAGAACAAGCACCCAGAUGGACUGUUCAUUAUCUUUGGGGACUUUAACCAAGCCGAUUUCAAGAACGUGUACCCCAAGUACCAUCAGUACAUCUCCUGCCCCACUAGAGGCUCAAACACCCUCGACCACUGCUACACUUCACACAAAGGUGCGGACCACUCCCUGCUGCGUCCACACCUCGGGCAGUCAGAUCAUGCCUCGAUUCUGCUGCUCCCAGUCUAUGAGCAGAAACUCAAGCAAGAGGAGCCUGUGACGCACACUGUGCAGCGCUGGACACCAGAAGCGGAGGAAAGGCUCCAGGACUGCUUUGACUCCGUGGACUGGGACAUGUUCAGAAACUCAUCCUCCAAUCUGGACGAGUAUGCCACAAUGGUCACGGACUUCAACAGGUUCUGUGUAAAUGUCUUCAUACCACAUAAAACAGUCCACUUAUUCCCCAACCAAAAACCAUGGAUUACCGCAAAAAUCCGAAAUAAGAUCCAUGGAGACACAGACGCGUACAAGAAGAGCAAGUUCGAG